CCGAUAUGGGCGUAAGCGUCGCAGGCGGCCCUUCAAGUCUGCUGUAAAACGUGGAGCUUAACUCCCAUCAUGGCAGUGGAAACUGUUGGGCUUGAGUGUGGUAGGGGCAGAGGGAAUUCCCGGUGUAGCGGUGAAAUGCGUAGAUAUCGGGAAGAACACCAGUGGCGAAGGCGCUCUGCUGGGCCAUAACUGACGCUCAUGGACGAAAGCCAGGGGAGCGAAAGGGAUUAGAUACCCCUGUAGUCCUGGCCGUAAACGAUGAACACUAGGUGUCGGGGGAAUCGACCCCCUCGGUGUCGUAGCCAACGCGUUAAGUGUUCCGCCUGGGGAGUACGCACGCAAGUGUGAAACUCAAAGGAAUUGACGGGGGCCCGCACAAGCGGUGGAGUAUGUGGUUUAAUUCGAUGCAACGCGAAGAACCUUACCAGGGUUUGACAUCCUGCGAACCUCUUGGAAACGAGAGGGUGCCUUCGGGAACGCAGUGACAGGUGGUGCAUGGCUGUCGUCAGCUCGUGUCGUGAGAUGUUGGGUUAAGUCCCGCAACGAGCGCAACCCACGUCUUUAGUUGCCAGCAUUUAGUUGGGCACUCUAGAGAGACCGCCGGUGAUAAACCGGAGGAAGGUGUGGAUGACGUCAAGUCAUCAUGCCCCUUACAUCCUGGGCUACACACGUACUACAAUGCUACGGACAAAGAGCAGCAAGUUCGCGAGGACAAGCAAAUCUCAUAAACCGUGGCUCAGUUCAGAUCGUAGGCUGCAACUCGCCUACGUGAAGGAGGAAUCGCUAGUAAUCGCAGGUCAGCAUACUGCGGUGAAUACGUUCCCGGGCCUUGUACACACCGCCCGUCACACCAUGGAAGUUGGCCACGCCCGAAGCCGUUACUCCAACCCUUGUGGAGGAGGACGUCGAAGGUGGGGCUGAUGACUGGGGUGAAGUCGUAACAAGGUAGCCGUA
rnacentral:rRNA from 1 species